UACGUAGGGUGCGAGCGUUUGUCCGGAAUUAUUGGGCGUAAAGGGCUCGUAGGCGGUUUGUUGCGUCGGGAGUGAAAACUCAGGGCUUAACCCUGAGCCUGCUUCCGAUACGGGCAGACUAGAGGUAUGCAGGGGAGAACGGAAUUCCUGGUGUAGCGGUGAAAUGCGCAGAUAUCAGGAGGAACACCGGUGGCGAAGGCGGUUCUCUGGGCAUUACCUGACGCUGAGGAGCGAAAGUGUGGGGAGCGAACAGG
rnacentral:rRNA from 1 species